CAGUGACGAUUAAACUGACCUUUAUAUGUAACAAUGAUGGAUUUUCUCUUUACAAAUCACCUAACGUCUUUAUAAAGUACAAACUAAACUCUGAAUUACGAAGAAGAGAAAAGAUUCAGUCAAGGAUUAUUGGAGUGACUUUCACCAAAUGUCCUCCUUUAAACUGAUGGAAAGCUCAUUCAACACCAACAGCCAAUGAGGGCUGAGUUUGUAGAAAGUUAAAACAAGUCAAGCUGACAGCUUGGAUUCACGUUAGAAUGCGCAAACAUCUUGUUAGACACAUCUAACAAAAUGAUCUAAUCCUGGCUAACCUGUGCUGUCCAGUCUUCAGAUAUUUCUUCUGUUGAAAAUGACAUCAUCUUCAUGGAGAGAAUUGAAUUAUCGGAAUCAGUCCAAUGCUCCAGCAGCAGCAGCAGCAGAUAAGAGAUCUGCCAGGUGGACAGGAGAGAAAGGACAUUUCCCCUGGGUGGAUGCGCACUGGGAAGUUUGGCCCCAAAGAAAACACUCCAGAAACAACAAGGUUCCUGUGACUAAAGAAAGGUGGAAAGUGACAGCUGAAGAAUGACAGGAAAGGGGGGAGAGAGAGGAGAUGCCACGCAGCAAAGGGCCACAGGUUGAAACCGAAAGCCUUCGUUUGCAUGACCCAACCCCUGGCACGUGAGGUGCCUCCACCAGGUGAGCCAACCGGGCGCCCAACAUGGCUCACAAUUUGUGGUUUGCAAAUGCAGAGAAAACAAUGGCAUCUUGGAUCACUGACUUUUCCUCGUAACAGUUGACUUGUUCCAGAGGACACAAAUCUUCAGAUGAAAAAAGUCUUGAUUUACCCAGAGUACUUAAGGAUUUACUCCUACUGAAGACAGUCAAUUAUGAGUUUAUUUGUUGGAUUGAAGCCUCGGGCAAUAUCUAUCUUUGUGCAACCAGCCCGAGGUUGUGUUAUAACUUGAAUACAAAUGAAGAAAAGACUAAAAUUGAAGCAAAGGUGACUCUUCCACUUUGGCUAAGACUGAGGAAACAUGACUGUAGGUAUCUUCCUGCUGCAAGAGGAGGAAGUGUUGAUAGGAUAGCUGUAAUCACGCUGUCAGGGAGCGACAACAACAAGAUGAUAAACUGAUCCUCCUUAAGCUCCACUGCUCUAUCUCAUUCUCUAACACUUCAUCAGGCCGGCCUUCCUGAUAACUGAGGCCUUUCUUGUGUUGAGGACAACGUAUAAGAUUUCGUAUGAGUGUGUGUGUGUUUGUGUGUGUGUGUGUGUGUUUAUCUCCUACCUGUCCUAUCUGAUGGACAUAGCGAACUGAAUGAGAGGCGUAAGGUUUCUGUCUGCACAUUACAAAAGACCUGCAGGCCUAUUUUGACUGCUGCACACACGCACACACACACACACACACACACACACACACACACACACACACACACACACAUACACACACGCAGUGGACUAUUUUGAUUGAAGUACUUAAUGAAUGACACACACACAUGCGCUGAUCUGUUUUGACUGGUAUCUUGUCUGUCUGGCUGCAGUGAAAAAGAAUAAAAGAGGCACAAGGCAAUCAGUGAAGGUAAUCACUGCUAUUAUAAAGUCAUACAUAAAGAGGUUACAUGUGUGCUAAAGCCCUACGGAAGUUUUAUUUCGGCCAAACAACAACAACAAAACACCACUAUCCUUGUAAGAAGAAUUCAGGUCCGUAUAGAUAUGGAUGUGGUUCAAGCUGGGGUUUUAACAGAGGGGGGUUUGGGAUUUAAAUUGUGUAAUUUUCACACUAUUUUAACAUGCAGUUCUGUGUGAUACUUCAUCAUGACUGCUCAAUCUGGAUCAGGAUGAGAGAACACUGUCAUUACAUAGUAGAUAUACUGGCAUCCAAUGCACCAACCCUGUAAGGAUAUUUGCUCUGUCAAUGGUUUGUUUUGUUCUUUUCGUGCCAAAUUUCAGCCUCAUGCCGCAGUGUUGUUUGUUACCAAGCAACGGGACAGGCAACUUUGGCCGGCAGCAUCAUAGCCGAAAGCAUGCGUGCCUUGUUCUGUUUUUGUAUCUAAAUAAACAGCAGAAAUAAAAACAGGA